AACGAUCGCUGGCGGCAUGCCUAACACAUGCAAGUCGAACGAGACCCCUGACUUCGGUUGGCGGGUCUAGUGGCGCACGGGUGCGUAACGCGUGGGAAUCUGCCCUUGGGUUCGGAAUAACUCAGAGAAAUUUGAGCUAAUACCGGAUGAUGACGAAAGUCCAAAAGAUUUAUCGCCCAGGGAUGAGCCCGCGUAAGAUUAGCUUGUUGGUGGGGUAAUGGCCUACCAAGGCGACGAUCUUUAGCUGGCCUGAGAGGAUGAUCAGCCACACUGGGACUGAGACACGGCCCAGACUCCUACGGGAGGCAGCAGUGGGGAAUAUUGGACAAUGGGCGCAAGCCUGAACCAGCCAUCCCGCGUGAAGGAAGAAUGCGCUACGCGUUGUAAACUUCUUUUCCAGGGGGAGAAUAAUCCUGUCGUGACAGGACUUGACGGUACUCUGGGAAUAAGCAUCGGCUAACGUCCGUGCCAGCAGCCGCGGUAAAACGUCUA
rnacentral:rRNA from 1 species